AACGCACCUUGCGCCCUCUGGUAUUCCGGAGGGCAUGCCUGUUUGAGUGUCAUGUAGACUCAAUCCCUCGGGUUUCCGAGGAGAUUGGACUUGGGUGUUGCCGCUCUGCCGGCUCACCUUAAAAGACUUAGCGGGAUAGCACCGUAGUCGACGUAAUAAGUUUCGUAGGUGAAGGUUGUGAUGACUGCUUACAAUCGCCCUUGGGCAAUUUUUGACUCUGACCUCAAAUCAGGUAGGACUACCCGCUGAACUUAA
rnacentral:misc_RNA from 1 species